CAAAAUUAAAGACCAUGGUUGACCAGGAAACCUGUACGGCUUGCGAGCUGUGUUACGAUAGAGUUCCCGAGGUUUACAAGAACAGGGGAGACGGAAUAGCGGAUGUUGUCAAGUGUGACAUAAAAGACGAGGAAGAUCACUGCUGGAUGAUAGUCCCGGAAGGACUGGAAGACGAAGUCAGAGAAGUAGAAGAAGAGUGCCCCAGCGGUUCU
rnacentral:misc_RNA from 1 species